rnacentral:rRNA from 1 species
CAGCAGCCACGGUAAUACGUAGGUGGCAAGCGUUGUCCGGAAUUAUCGGGCGUAAAGGGCUCGCAGGCGGUUUCUUAAGUCUGAUGUGAAAGCCCCCGGCUCAACCGGGGAGGGUCAUUGGAAACUGGGAAACUUGAGUGCAGAAGAGGAGAGUGGAAUUCCACGUGUAGCGGUGAAAUGCGUAGAGAUGUGGAGGAACACCAGUGGCGAAGGCGACUCUCUGGUCUGUAACUGACGCUGAGGAGCGAAAGCGUGGGGAGCGAACAGGAUUAGAUACCCGCGUAGUCCCUGUCUCUUAUAC